rnacentral:rRNA from 1 species
UGAGCAAUCUGCCCUUCUCAUCGGAAAUAAAGCGUUGGAAACGACGUCUAAUGCCGAAUACGACCUCCUUUCGCAUGAUCGGAGGUGGAAAGCUCCGGCGGAGAAGGAUGAGCCCGCGGCCUAUCAGCUUGUUGGUGGGGUAGUGGCCUACCAAGGCGACGACGGGUAGCCGGCCUGAGAGGGUGACCGGCCACACUGGGACUGAGACACGGCCCAGACCUCCGUACGGGAGCAGCAGG